AAACUUUCAACAACGGAUCUCUUGGUUCUGGCAUCGAUGAAGAACGCAGCGAAAUGCGAUAAGUAAUGUGAAUUGCAGAAUUCAGUGAAUCAUCAAAUCUUUGAACGCACAUUGCGCCCGCCAGUAUUCUGGCGGGCAUGCCUGUUCGAGCGUCAUUU
rnacentral:rRNA from 1 species